rnacentral:lncRNA from 1 species
ACACCUGCAACUAUCCUGUCAAAUGGCUGCCUGUACACCUUGAGACACACUUGUUUACCACUGAGGUCACGCUGGAACGCUUAUCCCAACAUGAAAUAGUAUCUUGUAGAGGGCAGAGACCACUUUCCCUCCCAGGCCUAUAAAUGCGUGUGGCACAUAAUGGGCACCUAAAUAUCAA